CUACGUAGGGGGCGAGCGUUGUCCGGAAUGAUUGGGCGUAAAGGGCGCGUAGGCGGCCCGGUAAGUCUGGAGUGAAAGUCCUGUUUUUAAGAUGGGAAUUGCUUUGGAUACUGUCGGGCUUGAGUGCAGGAGAGGUAAGUGGAAUCCCCAGUGUAGCGGUGAAAUGCGUAGAGAUUGGGAGGAACACCAGUGGCGAAGGCGGAUUGCUGGGCCGUAAGUGACGCUGAGGCGCGAACGCGUGGGGAGCGAACAGGAUUAGAUACCCUGGUAGUCCACGCGGUAAACGAUGAAUGCUAGGUGUUGCGGGUAUCGACCCCUGCAGUGCCGGAGUAAACACAAUAAGCAUUCCGCCUGGGGAGUACGGCCGCAAGGCUGAAACUCAAAGGAAUUGACGGGG
rnacentral:rRNA from 1 species